UACAGAGGGUGCGAGCGUUAAUCGGAAUUACUGGGCGUAAAGCGCACGUAGGUGGCGACGUAAGUCGGGUGUGAAAGCCCCGGGCUCAACCUGGGAAUUGCAUUCGAGACUGCAUUGCUGGAGUACGGAAGAGGAGGGCGGAAUUCCCGGCGUAGCGGUGAAAUGCGUAGAUAUCGGGAGGAACAUCAGUGGCGAAGGCGGCCCUCUGGUCCAGUACUGACACUCAAGUGCGAAAGCGUGGGGAGCAAACAGG
rnacentral:rRNA from 1 species